rnacentral:lncRNA from 1 species
AAAUACUCUCAUCCUGGACCCUGCAAUCUAAAGAUGAUUUUCUUGCAGAGGCUGAGUGAGCUGGCUCUGACCCACCAGAUGUACCGGGCCCUGAGCUGGACCCUGGUGUCCAGAAGUGGACACAGCCCCUGUGGGGCUCCAGCCUGUGGGGUUGGGGGGUGAUGAGGGACUCCUUCAAGAACGGAUGCAGUGCCUGGCAGGGCUGCAGGCUGCUGCCCACAGAGGGGCCUUUGCAGCUGUCCCUGAUGAAGUUGCCUGGGCACACCAGAGUGUGGGAGAGUGGACGGCGCGGCCCCUCCUGCACUUGGAGCUGCUCUCAGAUCUUGGGCUGUGACCCCUGUGGGUGACACGAAGUUCAGUGAUUGUCCUCCUUCUGGACUGAGGGACAUCCAUCCACACGCGCCCCCUCCACAGCCCGAUCCCAUCACGUCCUGCUCGUCCAACAUGGGCCUUAGAUCCUGGGGUCUCUGCUGAGUGCCUCCCCUCUGAACGCCCGGCUGGCACUUUCACGGUGAAGCCAGCUGUCAUGGACACCGACGGCAGGUGGCCUUUCUGCGUUGUCUACCGGCUGAUCUUGAAAGUGAAAACGGACAUUGUCUGCCCUGUGGUGACCGUGUUGGGUGAUGGUCCUGGGGUCAGGCCCUGCAUGCACCUUCACCCAGGGAUGGCUUCUUAGCUGACAGCGGCUCUGCCAGGAACCACGAUCACCCUCCAGUUUGCUCUUUGUGCUGAAUUUUAUUGACAUGAAAUUCGCAUGACGCCAACUUUAUCGUUUUAAAGUGAAUGGUUAAACAGAAUGCGGCACUUUCACAGGGCGGCAUGACCCCCACCUCUGUCUGCCUUCAGAACAUUUUCAUCCCCCACGAAAGGAGGAAGCGCAGUCCCCAGGAACAGUUACUCCUCAUUUCCCCUCCCCAGCUCUGGCUUCCGCAACCACGAAUCUGCUUUCUGUCUCCGUGAAUUUGCCUCUUUCGGAUAUAUUUCACGUAAAUGGAGUCCCGUGAUAGAUGAGCUGUGUCUGCCUCUUGCGGGCAGCACAGUGUCUGGAAGGUUCUCCGUGCAGCCGCAGGGGUUGGCGCUUCCUUCCUCCCGAGGCUGACCCGGCCCCGUCGUACGGGGAGUCCACUGUGUGUCUGUCUUUUGGCUGCUGUGAGCCUGGGUGUGCCGCCUGCUCCAGCCCAUGUUUUCAGCUCUUUCAGGUGUGGAGGGAGGAGUGGAAUUGUGGGAUCAUAUUGUAACUUUAACUUUGGAAGGAUCUGCCAAAUUACCCCUCUAAUUUGUUUUCAAUUUUAUUCUUAUUUCCCUGUCACUUGUUCUUUCUUUUGACUGGUUAAAAAAAAUGGCAAAGGUCUUCAGCAAAACAAGAAGUGAGUUUCAAUUGAACCGUGAAUUAAAUAUGAUACACUCAAAAUCUGACCAAUAAUACAUUUUAAUUUUCC